rfam:Myotis lucifugus cont2.30435, whole genome shotgun sequence.
GGUGGUUCUUGGGUGAUGCAUCUCAGAAUCAGGCUCCCUCCUCUCUGGUUCUGGGUGCGUCACCCAAGAACCACA